rnacentral:rRNA from 1 species
AUUGAACGCUGGCGGCAUGCCUUACACAUGCAAGUCGAACGGUAACAGGUUAAGCUGACGAGUGGCGAACGGGUGAGUAAUAUAUCGGAACGUGCCCAGUCGUGGGGGAUAACGUAGCGAAAGCUACGCUAAUACCGCAUACGAUCUACGGAUGAAAGCGGGGGACCGCAAGACCUCGCGCGAUUGGAGCGGCCGAUAUCAGAUUAGGUUGUUGGUGAGGUAAAAGCUCACCAAGCCUGCGAUCUGUAGCUGGUCUGAGAGGACGACCAGCCACACUGGAACUGAGACACGGUCCAGACUCCUACGGGAGGCAGCAGUGGGGAAUUUUGGACAAUGGACGCAAGUCUGAUCCAGCAAUGCCGCGUGCAGGACGAAGGCCUUCGGGUUGUAAACUGCUUUUGUACGGAACGAAACGGUGAGCCCUAAUACAGUUUGCUAAUGACGGUACCGUAAGAAUAAGCACCGGCUAACUACGUGCCAGCCGCCGCGGUAA